rnacentral:rRNA from 1 species
GAUGAACGCUAGCUACAGGCUUAACACAUGCAAGUCGAGGGGCAGCGGGAUUGAAGCUUGCUUCAAUUGCCGGCGACCGGCGCACGGGUGAGUAACGCGUAUCCAACCUUCCGUACACUCAGGGAUAGCCUUUCGAAAGAAAGAUUAAUACCUGAUGGUAUGAUGAGAUUGCAUGAUAGCAUCAUUAAAGAUUUAUCGGUGUACGAUGGGGAUGCGUUCCAUUAGGGUAGUAGGCGGGGUAACGGCCCACCUAGCCGACGAUGGAUAGGGGUUCUGAGAGGAAGGUCCCCCACAUUGGAACUGAGACACGGUCCAAACUCCUACGGGACGGCAGCAGUGAGGAAUACUU